rnacentral:tRNA from 1 species
GCGGGUGUAGCUCAGUUGGUUAGAGCGCCGGCCUGUCACGCCGGAGGUCACGGGUUCGAGCCCCGCCACUCGCG